CUAAGCAAAAUUAACUAAAAAAUAUUCAACAAUAAGCGCAGCAACAUCUUUUUCAUUUGAACGGCUGUUCUCCAAAGCGGAUCGAGGUCUAAAUGAAGCAAGAAAUCGCUUAAAUGGAGGACAUUUCCAACAAUUGCUAUUUUUAGUUCCAUUGAAGACUGGUAUCAGUACCGUUGAUAUCAAUAUUUUAUUCCCGAUAUUAUAUCUUAUCAAUACUCGAAGUAUCAAUAUAUAUCAAUACCAAAUACCGAUAUAAUUUAAAUAUAUCGCUAUCACUACUUCAGGAUGGUAGUAGCAGUUAAAAAUAGUAUCCCACGUUUCUAACGUGUAAGUCGAAGCGAACAAGGUGAUGGCCAAUGCAAUGUUAAAAAUCAGUGUUAUGAUCCGACCUGCGGGAUCGUUAUUUAUCUGUUCCGAAUUCAAUUUAAAAUAAUAUUCGAAUGACUUUAACUCGACAAUGUUCUAGAAAUGGUAUUCGCUGUCGCUAGAAAUAGCCAAGAGACUAUUUCGAUAAGUUCGACUGUUGUUCGUUAUUCCCAAUCGCCGAAUUCCUCGGCUUCACUAGGUAACACUGCCAGAGGGGGUCGAUCCUCGGUUAUCCCGAAAUAAGAGCGCGCUGCUAUCUUGAAUAUCUCAGUCGAUCGUGUACUUGAUAUCGAUCCUCGUUAGUAUGCAGGUAUGAGUAGUGUCGUCUAGCGUGUUAAUGAUACUGGUAAGUAUUUGCACUUUCGGCUUAACUGCUAUGGGCAGGGGUACUAGCAUGGGGAGGAUUAAAGUUUCUUAAGGAAGGAUGAAUGAUUUUAAUAUUUCUUUAAUUCAUCAGUUUAUUUAAUUUCAUCAAGUUGCUAUAUUUAUUAACUUAUUUUGUCACACAUUUAUUAUUCCGUUUUAUUUAUCUCCGAUCCCUCCACAACAAACUCAAUAGAAUAUAUAUAACUAUCGUAGUUAACGAGCGAAACGGCCCUUGACGACAGCGGGUGUAGCUCUUCUGGGCGAAGGGCACCCUCGCGUUCAGGAAUAGGUGAACUAAAAGUGUUCUCUGUUGGAACCAACGUAACCUCGCAAGUCUCGCCCAAAGACGAGCGGGCAAUUGCCUGCUAACAGUGGGAGGAGAAAUUGUGAAGACCAGUAGGCGUCUUCAAUUAUUAAAGAUACCGUAACCGGAUGCGAUUUUACAACCACAUUUAACAGUCAAAGGUUGCAUCAGCGAACGUAGAGCUUCAUUUGUUAUUAUUUUCGAAUUAAGUUAUUAUAAGGGAGUGAGAAUGGAUAGACCCAAACGAAUUGUUUUAUUUAAAUAGUAACACGAAAUAGUCGAGCAGUGAGGAGGGUGGUUACAAAUCUAUGUGUUACAAAGCUCUCACCUUGUUAUUAUACUCCAUCGAUCACAUAAAGAGAAUUAUCGGUAGUCAAUUAUACUUGGCUGAACUAUCUGAACUUGUUUACCAAAUGAACUUCUAUUGCCGAUUUAACUGAUCGAAGUAGCUGCUCGUAGUAACUGUUUACUGAUUGAUGUUAAGUAACUCGCUGAAGCGACUGAACCAAACUGUUUACCGAAAGACCGAACUGAAGCGACUGAUUGAAACAACUGUGACUGACUUGAUUCGAAGUUCGAAGGAUAAGUAUCACGCAAUAUUUCGUUACCACGUGAACUGUUUGUCUUUGUGCGAACGAUGGAAUGUUAACACGUAGUUAUCUUGUGACUGUUGCAGUUUCACGUUGGGGUUUGGUAUGUGGUCUUCCCAAGAGUGUUGCAGUCUUCAUUUCUGCUGAUGUCCUCAAGAGUAUUACCAUUUCAUAUUUCUGCUGAUUAGAGUUCGAUAUGCGAUCUUCCCAAGUGCGUUGCAGUUUCCUAUCUUUGCUGAUAACCUUCUCAGGAGUAUUAAGGUAUCCUAUUUCCGCUGGUUAGAGUCUGGUAUACAGUCUCCUUGGGAGCGUUGCAUUCUCCCAUCUUCCUUCUUCUGCCUACUGGGGUGUCAUGGUGAGGUGCGCGCGUAAAGCGAGGCGCGUAGGCGAGCGUUCAAUUGUUCUGCCAGCUCUCCACACUGCAACAGGUUAGCACUUUACAUCAGAGUUGACAGACUUUUGCAAUUUUAUUUAUUAUUACGAUUCGUUAUUCGGGCAAUAUUCUAUAAGCGAUUCGUUGUCAUCACGUUCGCGUAGUUUCCUGAUCAUGAGCGCAGCAGAGCCGACGACCUCUGUUUCCAGCCCGGCCGUACAGUGUAAGAAAUCCAAGAAGAAAAGGAAAAGGCUUAAUAAGAACGGUUCGAGGAAGCGCGGACACCGUGCAGGGAUGAGGUUCCAGGAACAAAAGAGAAGAGCGUGUAUGUUGAAGGAAGUCUUACCCGCUUUCCUCAACACA